CAUUAUAAACAGGAUGGUGUGUUUGAGCUAUCAUCAAGGCAUCUUCCAUUUAAGGUGAACGGCUCCUGGAAAUCAGAAGCACAUGGGAAGAGGGUCAGGUCCCAGUUAGACGUUUGCAGUCGAUGUCAGCCUCAUGCUGGAAUCCUGUUGGAGUCAUCCUCAGAUGAAUACGGAAUGCUUUUCUGGAAAACGCUCUUUAUCCAGGGAGUGCUGUUCUCGAUGUAGAGAUCUCUACUUUGAAGUAUUUUCUCCCAAACUGCUGUGUUGUGAAAGAAGAUGAGAAAUUGGCCAGCUCUAAGAAGGGAAAGGAAGAAACGGAGUCUAAGUAAAAUUGUCAAGUGGACAGUGUAAAUAAACGGACAUCCCCUGUCUCUAGAAAUUUAGCUAAUCUCUCUGUGGUAUACAGUAUUAUUUGCAAAAAUGGUAAAGAUGCUUAGAUAGAAGUUAUACAUUUCUUUUAAGUUGAGAGUAGCUCUCCAGUCAGUGGUCCAAACUAGGCUGUUAGUUACAACAAUGUGUAAUAAUUUCAAGGCUCUUUGAGCAAGUUGUAGUGGGUGUUUGGUCUUGUAAUUAACCCGCUGCCAUUGGCCAUGCAUUCUCUCCACCCUGUAAUUACUUGACUAAAAAAAUAACGCCAUUCAAAGCAAACAUUGUAUAGAAAAUUAAGAGCAUUCAUUUUAAUCUGUUUUCACGCUCACACCAUGACUAUAACUUGUACAUACAUUUCAUGUAUAAGCAGAAGUUGUUUGGCCACAUCUGAGCAGUUUUUGUUAGAGAAGUUUGAUUUGGAAGCAAACUGGGUCAGCAUGCCAUUGGCUUUUUGUUUUUAUUUCACUUUUUUAGAACCAAUCUGAAAGUAUCAAAAGGAUUUUCACGUAAAAAUGUCUUACCACUGAGCUAAGAAUGUAAUGGAUAUUCAAUUAUUUGCUCCAGCAAUCGCUGUUCUUUUAAAUCAUAUUACAUGCGUAAGUCCUGUAUGUGGAGAGCUUUAGCCUCGAAAACAAAUACUUCAGGAAGCUUGUAAGUGAAAACAUUGGUGUAAACCUGUGAAAUGAAAGUGCCUGCUCAGGAAAAAAAGGCCAAUCCUUCCCUCGGCAUGUUGUCCUUAGUAAUGCUUCUGCGUUCUUGGGGUCUUUGUCCAGAACAAGUACGGAAUAGAAGUGGGGUUUGUAUGUAUGAAUGAAAAGCAACAGAAAGCAUCAGGGAACUCCUCUGUAGAAACCUGCAUUGGGAUUUAUUUUAUCUAACAUGAAUUGUCUAAAAGUUAGACCGAGAAGGUGAGUGUAGACUCCCUCUAUAGGUAGUGGAGAGAAGCAGCCAUUCCAGAAAGCAGUUGACACCUAUCUCGUGACAGGAUUAAACCCUAACUUCUAGAUGGCUACGGAGAAGUGAGGUGAAUUCCUCCUUGAGAGUAAUGCUGCCAUCCUUCAGCUUCUUCAAAGCUUCAGUCUUCUGAUUGUGGCAUAGGCUUCACUUCCAAGCCCACCAUUGCUUUAGCCAAUAAUGCCAUUUUUGUAUCAUAAGGCAUGAUGCAGCUGUAUUGGUCAUCUCAUUUAUACAAAGACGAGGAGUCCCUCCACCUGUGUUAAACCGAAUGCAUCAAACUCAAUGAAGGACCUGUUUUUCAGUUGAUGGAUGUCACA